rnacentral:rRNA from 1 species
UACGUAGGGGGCGAGCGUUGUCCGGAUUUACUGGGCGUAAAGCGUCCGCAGGCGGUCAACCAAGUUCGUCGUGACAGUCUCCAGCUCAACUGGGGAAGGCCGAUGAAGACUGGCUGACUUGAGGGCUUCAGAGGGACAUGGAAUUCCGGGUGGAGUGGUGAAAUGCGUAGAGAUCCGGAGGAACACCAAAGGCGCAGGCAGUGUCCUGGGAAGCACCUGACGCUCAGGGACGAAAGCUAGGGGAGCGAACGGG